UACGGAGGGUGCGAGCGUUGUCCGGAAUCACUGGGCGUAAAGGGCGCGUAGGCGGCCUGAUAAGUAGGGGGUGAAAUCCUGCGGCUUAACCGCAGGGCUGCCUUCUAAACUGUCAGGCUAGAGCACGGUAGAGGCAGAUGGAAUUCCCGGUGUAGCGGUGGAAUGCGUAGAGAUCGGGAAGAACAUCAGUGGCGAAGGCGGCUCGCUGGGCAGUGGCUGACGCUGAGGCGCGACAGCGUGGGGAGCAAACAGG
rnacentral:rRNA from 1 species